rnacentral:rRNA from 1 species
UGACCUCGAUCAGUAGGAUAAGUGAC